rnacentral:rRNA from 1 species
UACGGAGGGGACUAGCGUUGUUCGGAAUUACUGGGCGUAAAGCGCACGUAGGCGGAUUGUUAAGUCAGGGGUGAAAUCCCGAGGCUCAACCUCGGAACUGCCUUUGAUACUGGCAAUCUCGAGUCCGGAAGAGGUGAGUGGAAUUCCUAGUGUAGAGGUGAAAUUCGUAGAUAUUAGGAAGAACACCAGUGGCGAAAGCGGCCACCUGGACUGCACCUGACGCUGACACGCGAAAGCUAGGGGAGCGAACGGG